CUCCCUUCCUUCCCAUGCCAACGUGCACACUCGCCGGCGAUCGAGGUCGCCAGAUUUUGUCAAAAUAAAGGUUCGAUUUUUUUCUAAAUUUUGGGACGUCGGUGGUCGCUGCCAGCCACGGUUUCGGGUUCCUUUUGAUGGCGGUGCGCUCUCCUCCGGCCACUGACCAUUCCCGUGCCAGUCGGCCGCUGGUCGGCCAACCUUAUGAGGGGACCUCACGGUCCCCUGGUUCACCUAUUUCACCCAUGGGAGGCCAUGAGAAGAAGAAUGAAGAAAAAAAAAAGAAAAAGAAAAAAGACA
rnacentral:lncRNA from 1 species